rnacentral:other from 2 species
UAGUCCCUGCAGUGUUCGUGACAUGACCAUACAUUCCUUGAACCAAUGCUAUGGCAUUCGGGUUGCCGGAUUGACAAGUAGGCGUGAACACCUCUUUUGGUGAUCCCGAAGCUUGACUGAUGGCGACCAACCUUGAACUCCGGUUCCAGGAUGCCGGUCUAGACGGCACAGGUGGGGCAUUU